rnacentral:lncRNA from 1 species
UCCUGACCAGCAAAGAUGAUUUUUAAUCCUACAGCACUGACAUUUCUCUUUCGCGCUAUUUCGGCUUUGAGGCGAGCUAUACUCCACGACGGUUUAAAGCGAACGCCAAAAGAAGUGCCGUUCAAAUUAACUGUAACGUCGUAAGACAUAGUUUCAUAAAGAAAUAUCUUGUAUAUUCUUACAAAUUAAAAAAAUUAAAUCGUUCGGAGAGAAUGGAAUUUUGAACGAGAAAUUAGUAAAUUACCG